GACUCUCGACAACGAAUAUCUUGGCUCUUGCCACGAUGAAGAACAUAGCGAAAUGCGAUACCUGGUGUUAAUUACAGAAUCUCGUGAAUCAUCGAGUCUUUGAAUGCAAGUUGCCCCCUAGGCCAUAGGCUGAGGGCACGCCAGCCUGUGCGUCA
rnacentral:rRNA from 1 species